AGAAGCCAAUCAGCGUCUCCGCUGCUCCGGGUUAUAAAGUCUGCACUGAGCACCCAGGGCUCAGAUUCUCCCCAGAUCGUGAGGAUGCGGGUCAUGAUGCCCCCAACCUUCCUCCUGCUGCUCUCGGGGGCCCUGACCCUGACCGAGACCUGGGCGGGCUCCCACUCCCUGAGGUAUUUCUACACCGCCGUGUCCCGGCCCGGCCGCGGGGAGCCCCGCUUCGUCGCCAUCGGCUACGUGGACGACACGCAGUUCGUGCGGUUCGACAGCGACGCCGCGAGUCCGAGGAUGCAGCCGCGGGCGCCGUGGAUGGAGCAGGAGGGGCCGGAGUAUUGGGAGCUGAACACGCGGCGCGCCAAGGAAACCGCACAGACUUUCCGAGUGAACCUGAACACCCUGCGCGGCUACUACAACCAGAGCGAGGCCGGGUCUCACACCCUCCAGGGGAUGUGUGGCUGCGACGUGGGGCCGGACGGGCGCGUUCUCCGCGGGUACAGUCAGUCCGCCUACGACGGCACCGAUUACAUCGCCCUGAAGGAGGACCUGCGCUCCUGGACCGCGGCGGACACGGCGGCUCAGAUCACCCGGCGCAAGUGGGAGGAGGACGGUGUGGCGGAGGGCUUCAGGAACUACCUGGAGGGCACGUGCGUGGAGUGGCUCCUCAGAUACCUGGAGAACGGGAACGAGACGCUGCAGCGCGUGGACCCGCCAAAGACACAUGUGACCCACCACCCCAUCUCUGACCGUGAGGUCACCCUGAGGUGCUGGGCCCUGGGCUUCUACCCUGAGGAGAUCAGCCUGUCCUGGCAGCGUGAUGGGGAGGACCUGACCCAGGACACGGAGCUUGUGGAGACCAGGCCUGCAGGGGACGGGACCUUCCAGAAGUGGGCGGCUGUGGUGGUGCCUUCUGGAGAGGAGCAGAGAUACACAUGCCGUGUGCAGCACGAGGGGCUGCCUGAGCCCGGCACCCUGAGAUGGGGUAAGGAGAGAGCCGUGGGCUCAGAGCCUCUUCUCAGGGAAAUCAGGAGCCCUUCUGGAGACCUUCAGCAGGGUCAGGGCUAAGGCCUGAGGUCAGAGCCCUCACCUUCCCUUCCCAGAGCCGCCGCCUCAGUCCACCAUCCUCAUCGUGAGCAUCAUUGUUGGCCUGGUUCUCCUUGGAGCUGUGGUCACUGGAGCUGUGGUGGCUGGAGCUGUGAUGUGGAUGAAGAAGCGCUCAGGUGUAAAAAGAGGGAUUUACGUGCAGGCUGCAAACAAUGACAGUGCCCAGGGAUCUGAUGCGUCUCUCCCACAGAAAGUGUGAGACGGUGGCCCUGUGGGAGACCAAGUGAUGCAACAUUUGUUCACGCUCCUACUUUGUGACUUCAGAUCCCCUCUCUUCUCUCUCUGCAGCUGGCAUCUGAAUGUGUCUGUGUUCCUAUUAGCAUAAUGAGAGGAGGUGGGGAAAUUGACCCACCCCUGUCUUCCAUGACCCCCUCCCCACACUGACCUUUGUGCUUUCCCUGAUGAAAUUUCCUGUUGCAGCAGAGGUGGGGCUGGGCCGGCUCCCUCCCUGUCUUAACUUCCUGUUGCACUCACUAGUGAUCAUUUGCUUCCUUGCUGAAAAGAUGGAUCCAGAUAUGAAUUUUUUUCUAAUUCUUCUUCUAAGGGAUUGAUGUGUUAAUUAAAGAAGAAGAUUCCUAAAGUUUGAGAGUGGAAAUAAAUGGAAGCACUGAGAACUUUCCAGAA